rnacentral:lncRNA from 1 species
CUUCAGUGGUAAGCUUAGCCAACAUACCACUUUACCUGUGAAAAUUGCUGCAGUAUGUUUUUUAUUUUUUUUAUUUAACAAUGUAUGUGGCUGCUGGCACAAACUUUCAUCUUACGGUGACAACAACCUCUGUUUUUCAGAAUAUUUAUCAUGGAUAGAAAAGUUGUAGCAAGAUACCAGAGAGAGCAGUAGCAGAUCCUCCAUCAUCACGAAUUUGAUGUAUUGAGGUUGCAGUGGUCUUUACCGCAGAGGUUUCAGUUGAUAUGACUUAUGCCCAAGAUAGAAACAUGUCCCUAUCUUUCUACUUGAAUGUUUUUUUUGGCUUAGGCAGUUGCCAACGAGCCUCUUCAAAAAUUAGUCUCUUCUAAAUGAAAGUCAUUUUUCAAGCAUUAUUUUUACCCCUUCAUGAAAAGGCGUUGCUGUCUAAGUUCCAUUCAAAAUAUAUUCUCAUUUCUUUUUAUAGAGAAAGCUUCAGGAGGAUGGUAGCCUUGUUUGAUAUUUCACAGGCUCUAUAGAUAUUCGAAUAUACACUAAUUCAAUAAGGAAGUUCUGUGGUCCAUUGGAAAGUGGCUUAUCCAGGUCAAUGGAGGAUGUUUAUAGUCUUGCAGAAAGCUUAUUUCCAGGUACCGUUUCACAUGCGAUUUGUUUUGGAGAAAAUAUAUUUUCAGUUCACAAAUCCUUUAGGUCUCAGUACUUUUCCACGGUAACUUUUUCAAAGUUCUGGAGAUCCUUUUAGCACAAUUAAGGAAAUAAGAGUAUAGCAAUCUACCUAUACCAGCACAUCGUCCUUAUCCUGACAGAGAGAGCUCUUUGUUAGCCAUUAACUACUUUGUUUUAGUUUCUACUUCCUCAUGGCUGGAAGAUCAGUUGGUGUUAUGUCUCUCCUCCCAGUCCAUGUCUUAUCUGGGAGCCACUUUUAAGAACUGAAAAAGGUAUUUUGACUUUCUCAGGACCGAAGGAAGACCUUUUGCAAAGGCAGAGCAUUUUGGUUAUCUAGGUUUCCGUAAAAGAAUGAUGUGUCUCCUGGCAUCCAUGUCUUCUAACAUAAGGCUGGUAUAUGGGCACAGUGGAGUAUGAGGUUAUUUCAAGGAAUUUCCUUCUUCAGUUCAGGUAUUCUUCUACAGCAAAUAAGGAUUACAUCCAUUGUAAUAAAGUCCUGAUAUAGUGCUUACUAAGAAAUCAGAUUUUUUUUUUACUGGGAGAGAUUCCUUGGUCUGCUUUUGCUGCAGAUGACAGUCAUUUGGAUUAAGGAUUGCAUCUUCAUAUCUAUUGUGCACAAGCAAUAUGCCUCUGUUUCCUCAGCCCAAUAUCUUGCAAUUUCCUAGAUCUACUAGCCAUAUUCGGAGCUUUGAAGCAUUUUCAGCAUCAAUCUUUUCACUCUGGUGAAGGUACAUGUAAUCUAUGUUGCAGUUUGAUGUAUUUUAUAAACAAGGGAACACUUGGAUUCACAAUAUGAUGAACUUCAUAUAAAACAGGUGACAUAGGCUAUUCAAGGUAAUUGUACACCAUGACAGAUUCCCUUAGUCCACUGAUAGUACACCUAAAAAUGUUACCUAUCAGAUGAAGCCUUCCAGAUGAUAGGGGUAAAUGAUAGCAUUGAUAGCGUGUGGAUCUUACAGCAACAAAUAUAUCUACAAGUUCUUUUCUAGAAUUUUGAUCCACAUGAUAGAGAUGCCCUAUAAUGCAUAUGGUGAUUCAUCCUGAAUUAUGCAUUUCCAGCACUUCUUUUCUGUUUCCUGUCCUGGAAGGCCAAGAACAUGUGCCCAUAAUCCUAAUAAUUUGACCUCCUAUUCUAGAGAUGCCCUAUAAUGCAUAUGGUGAUUCAUCCUGAAUUAUGCAUUUCCAGUACUUCUUUUCUGUUUCCUGUCCUGGAAGGCCAAGAACAUGUGCCCAUAAUCCUAAUAAUUUGACCUCCUAUUCUCCUUAAACUAGGCAUAGAAUUACAUGGGAUCAUCAGAGAAUUUCAGCCCUUCUCUACCAAUGACCAGUUCUUCAUCCAGACGUGCUAUCUCCAGAGAUAACUCUUUUUAAGCCAGGUUGUGUUUCACUUCUGCUGGUUUUUUUUUUUUUUUCUUGGUCUCUUCCUUAUCAGGUGGAUAAUCAUUAUCCUUCUACUUAGGACACACUGGUAUUCCUACAAUCUGGACUUUUCUAUGCCUGUGUUUAAAUUCUUUGGCAGCAUAUGUCUCAGCCCUUUCAACCCUCUAUACAUUAAGUGGAACUUUGAUAUCAACAUGACCAAAUUAUUAUUGUAAUUCUAAAUAUUUAUCCAUUGCUUCCCAUAGGAUCUACUUUUAAUAUAAGCUUUGAAGACAGCUGUGAAGACAUAUCGCUCAUCUUUUAAUUCUUUGUCUGCAUUACUCAACAUCUUCAUUUCUAUUAAGUGCUUCAGACAGAUGUAUAUCAGAGCUUGGAGUAUUAUCGUCUAAGGAUCUCAGAUGUUUUUCUGAUCUGGUCUCAAUGGGGUCUCCGUUUUUCAAUUUAGCAAGGAAAAUGUGCUCCUAUCCUUGUAUUUUUUCUUUUUGAUUUAAGCAAGGAAGUAGGGUGUUCUACAUUUGCAUUGGUUAACUCUUUUGGUUCUACUUUUAUAGAUCUUUUUAUUUUACUAUGUCAUAAAGUCUGUUUGUUUACCCUAAUGGGGCAGGUAAAGCAUCCAGCAUCUAAGUAAGCUAUCAGUAGAUGUAUUGUUGUUGCCAUUUUUUUUAUAUAAUCAGGGCUCCAGAGUUUUGGUUCCUGAAGGACUAAUGGAUCAUUUUUCUGGUUCUUUUAUGCCUCUUGGGCUUCCGCAGCUAGGUUUUCCUUAGUUCUGAUAUGUAGAGCAGCUUCUUGGACUUCUAUUAUCUCCCUCAUGACAUGACCAAUUAGAUGUCAGUGCUGGUCAAUUUGGUAAUCAUGGUAAGAGUGGUCUUCAGCAUGUGGCAAUAUAUAUACAUUGUUUUUAAUAAUUGCAUUAUGUCUUUGAUUAUUUUAUAUUAUAUUACUUGUAUUUGUUAAUUUUGGAGUCUGUGUAUUUUUCUCCCUCCCUUGGUUAUUGCUUGGGUAUUGCCCAUUGUUGUACUGCCAUAGAUAUGUCAGAUACCACCUGGUAUUUUGCUGAAACAAGACUGAAGGUGUGAGGGUAAGAAGGGGUAUUUAGGUUUCUGUCUAAUAAGGGAAAGUGAGGAGAUACCCAUUGUUGUGCUGCAAUGGCUUAUGACCAGGAAAUGAAAAUUACGCUAAGUAGGAAUACAUUUUCUGAUAUAUAAAGCAGAAGGUGUAAUUUAUUUAAAAAAAAUUAAAAUUGUAAAGAGUAGAAAUUCAAAUGAUGAUGGGGUUAUACCUAUAACCUGUCCAUUUUACUAGAUGUAUGAUGCUUAUUUCUCUUAAUAGCAUGCUUUGUAUGUUUAUAAGUGUGACUGCACCUUUUUAGAUGAGAUGUUAGUUGUCCUCAAUCUUUUAACUAGUUGCAUUAUAUGUUUUUCCCAUUUUGUAAUCAUGAUUAUAUACAAAGUGCAUGUUGAUGGCUCACCUGGAGAUUUUGAUUUUGGUUUUAAGUUAUAAUCACAUGCUAUUUACAGAAACUCAAAAUUCUGCUUAGGUCAGUUUAACAUUGGUAUAUAGGUGAUGAGGGCAGUAAUACAAAAUCUGGACUUCCUUGUGCCUCCGGAUGUCAUAACAUUUCUAAUAGUAAAGUGGCACACAUUCAUUGUGUCAACUACUUGCAACAAAUUAAUUUGUGUGAAUCAAGUGGUACUAAUCAUGUACUCUCUAGAUUAAAUCUACAUAGGUCAUUUAAAAAUUGAGGACAACAAUCUCAUUUUAUGUCAGCAAAAAAGAAUGGGAUACCCAAACCCAGAUGGUGCUAGGUACUAGCCAUUGCUUGUGCACUAAGGCUAUUUUAUGUCUCAACACUGUGUGAGUCACUUAUCUAGAUUAGAGGUAUGCCAAAGAUGCUACAUUGAUGCAAUGCAACAAGCUUCUAUGUUGGCAUAAUGAAAGGACUUUUUCACAAAGCAUAUUUUCACCCAUGUUAGGAAAGUUGGUAAAACGUUUUCAAAACCUAGGUUAAAUAUUUAACAUAUUUUGUCUUUUUAUAUAUGUGCAUAUUCUUAAUACAUAAUAGAUAAGAAAAAUGUUAUUGUGCCAACUCAUCUGAUCCUUUGGAUACUAUGGGUAAUUAACACUUAGGAAUGAAUUUUAACAUGGUAUAUUUUUAUCAUACAAAUCAUAACAAAAUGCUUCAGAAAAUUACAUACAGCAAAGGAUUGUUCACAUGGGCUAUCAGUAGAUGUCUGUUUCAACACCAAUUCACAAGCUUUAGUAUUCAUUUAUUUCUGAUAAGGUGUGGUUGAUGUAUGAAUUGAUGAUCUUGUUGUUGAAGACAAUAAUCACGUAAGGUCUAAUUAACUUACAAUGAGAAUCAUAUUGUCUUGGUAAUGUCAGGAAAUAAACCUAAAUUUUAAUUUUAAAGGGACACUAUAGUCACCAAAACAACUUUAGCUUAAUUAUGCAGUUUUGCUGUACAGAUCAUGCCCUUGUAGUCUCUUUGUUCCAUUCACAGCCAUUGAGGAGUUAAAUCAUUUGGUUUAUGAGCCCUUGUCACCAUAUCUUUCAUAAACACUUCCUGUAAACUGAGAUCUAAUGUUUAUACUUACUUUUUUCAAAUUGUGUUUAAUUUAGAAUGUCUUAUCUCCUGCUCUGCUAAUAGUUUGCUGGGUCCUGCAGGGGCCUCCUGUGUGUAAUUAAAGCUCAAUUUACAGAGCAAGAGAUAAAAAAAAACAUCUGGUUGAAAAUGAAACCAUUAUUUUCAUGUAGGAUGUCAGUCACAGAAAAGAGAGUCGUGGUUAGCACUGUAUAAACAGAAACAAAAGUGAUUUAACUCCAAAAUGGCAGAGAAUUGAGCAGUGAGACUUUAGAUGCAUGAUAUAUUCACAAAAACUGCUUCAUUAAGCUAAAGUUGUUUUGUUAACUGUAGCUUCCAUUUAAUAGGACUUUUUUCUGCCAGUAGAAACAAAGCACAAAGCAUUGCUCCUCCACUCAUAAAACUAGUUGGAUAUGAUAAUUUAUAGACCUUAUAAAAAUGACAAGCAGUACAGAAGUACAAAUACACAGAUGCGUAAUGCAGCCAUAUAUGUUACUUUUGUAUCUAGUACUAAAUCAUAGGCAUGAGAUCAAAAAGUAUAAACAAAAUGAGAAAUUCUACCUUGCUCCUUGUUCUUCUGUUUCACUUCCAUUUCCAGGAUCAAUAAAAUUGCUUUUAUUGAAAAGUAUUGCUGUUUUUUUUUUCUAAAUGUGAAGAUAAAUAUUUGUGCAACCACUUUUAUUUUUCUUCAUUUAACAAAAUUUAAAUUAAUUAAAAAAAGAAACACUUUAAAGGCCUAAAGCACAUUAUCUUGCUGAAGUGCUUUUUUUCAGUAGAAAUUGGCACUUCUAUAAAUAAACCUUGUUCCAACCCCUAUAUGUUAAUCAGACAACUGGUCCUGCUACUUCCUGGUUUGUUUAGCUCAGUGGAGCUGAACUCAAGAGGCAGCAAUUGCCCAGAGCACCUGCCUUACAAAGGCUUUUCAGUUGGCUGGGAAGAAGUGAAACGCUUGCAAAGGUUGCAUUCAAGAUUUCUACAGGAUUUUUUUCAGCUUUACCCCAAUGAAAAAAAGCAUUAUAAAACGCAUACAUGUUUUCAUUGGUGAUAUAUCUACUAAUCUGUGAUAUUUAAGCAAAAAAAAAAAAAUUAUUCAGCGGAGUGUCCCUGUAAGACAUUAAAGAAUUACCUGCUCUAAUGUAAUCAGAACCUUGAUCGAAUGAGUAUGUAAUAGUACAAUACAAUUGCAGAUAUGCUAUCAAAUUUAAUAAUAAAUAACUGAAUCCUUCCCUCUUAAAAACUUACAUAUACAUGUCUUUAAUGUCACAUUGCAAAACAAUGCAAAAACUAAAUGUAAUCCCUAAACGCCCAGUUACCUCCCUAUUCGUUCCAGUGUUGUUUUUCAACAUGCAGAGAAUUAAAUGUAUUUCUCAACCAGGGCCACGUUUAAAUUGAGAAUCUCUGCAAAGAGCAGCCACUUUCCUUAGCUCACAAUCUACAGGAACAUUUGUUAGUAAAAUUGUAUAGCUGCAUUCUAGCACUCAGAGAGAGAGGAAUAUAGCUAUGAGCACACUAAAGAGAUGUUCUCCCUCCUGAAAUAACAGCUUGUAAUCCCCUUGUUUUAACGUAUAUUUGGUGUUAUCUUAGUUUCUUGAUGCAUUUUGAGAAAACUGCAUUUUCAAAAAUACCAUCAUCUUCCCAAUAUAAAGCUAUUUCAAAACAGUGUAACAUUUAAAGUAAAGGCAGUCCAGGCACCAUAACAACUUUAUUGAGAUAAAAUUAUUAUAGUGACCGAAGGAAUCUUUUAAAGGAUAUCAUAUAACCGUUAAAACCUGUAUUUCACUAUAUUGAUGUAAGAGUAAACAAAUUAUAUAUUUCAUUGUCAUUCACACUGUCAAAGUGAUUUCACAUUAAAUUUCAAAGUUUAGGCCAAAAUAGCUAAUAUGUGAAAAAACAGAUGACUUGUAGAAUGUUUUCGACUGUUUAUGCCAUCAAUUUAGCAUUCAAUUUGAAUAUCCUUUGUAUUCCCGGAAAGUAAUACUUUGGUGAAAAGCCAUGCUUGUUUCCCCUUAUUUAAAGAUUGUACUAUGUACACGAAAUUGCAUAUUUUUUUUCUUUUUUUAAAUAAAUUGGUAAUGAAAGAGUUAAGUUGUCAAAAUUAAUUACUAGAGUGCGAUUGUUGCUUAUUCAGAAUGCAUUCAAAAUAGUUUAUCAGUUAUGCUUCAAGUUUGACUAAUUUGACCUGAAAUUUAGAUUUACUUGUGUGUAAUUAUAAAAAUAUAUUCUCUGUAUUCCCUUAACAGAAAUGUAUACAGUUGUUGUUACUUAAAAAGUAACUUGGUAGUGAUGAGGUUAACAGAGAACUAUUUAUUUGCAUAUCAAGUCAGAUUUAUAUGUCACAAACAAAAAAGAUCUGGCACAUUGAAAAGUUUUUUUCUCUUGAUCUACACAGAUGGUAAUAUUUAUAUUUUGAUUGCUUGAAUUGGUCUUCAAACAUCACCCGGAACACUAACUUACUUUAAAGUAGAGGUAUCUAGUGAAAUAUUUACUAUGUUCCAGCUUUGUUGGGAUAUGAUGUGUGUAAUGUCUUUGCUGUUAGAGACAGAACAAAAACAGUUUUGAUUUUCUUUGUUACAUUAAGUUUAAAUGUUGCCCAUGUGUUCAAACCUUUAAAACAAUAUAAUCUAUAUUUCAGUUCCUCUAUAAUAGCCUGUACAUAAACAAAUACAGCAUAUAGGAUUAAAAUGCAAUGCAUAAUACUUGGAAAUUGUGUCACUUUAGCAUUUGGCAUAUACAAUCCUUCUACCUUCAUUGCAUAUAAUAAAAUUCAUCUGGAAGCCAAAUAAAGUGUUAUUUCAUUUCUAAUUCCAUGGCAUUAUGUUUUCACAUACAGUUUGGACCAUUGCAAUGGAGGUUAUCUGGAAUUUGAAUGAAUACGUAGUCCAUUAUAAUUUUGCAAUGUAACAAGGAGCAAUGAAAUGAAUACAGUAUUUAAAAGUAUGUAAAGGCAAUAUGCAUUAUCUCAACAAUCCUAUUUUUGCUGCUAUUAAUGCCAGCGCUUUAAUCACAAUUUUUUGAUCAUGUUAUCACAAAUGAUGUAAUUUGUUUGCGCUGUAAAAGUGAAUAUGUCACUACUGUUGAAAAUUCAAGAUGUGAAACAAGCAUAAAAUAUAUAUAGUCCCUAUUAUACCGAGUCCUGGAAAUAUGUUAUGCUUAAAAAGUUUUG